GACAGAGGAUGCAAGCGUUAUCCGGAAUGAUUGGGCGUAAAGCGUCUGUAGGUGGCUUUUUAAGUCUGCCGUCAAAUCCCAGGGCUUAACCCUGGACAGGCGGUGGAAACUACCAAGCUGGAGUACGGUAGGGGCAGGGGGAAUUCCGGUGGAGCGGUGAAAUGCGUAGAGAUCGGAAAGAACACCAACGGCGAAAGCACUCUGCUGGGCCGACACUGACACUGAGAGACGAAAGCUAGGGGAGCGAAUGGG
rnacentral:rRNA from 1 species